rnacentral:rRNA from 1 species
AUUGAACGCUGGCGGUAUGCUUAACACAUGCAAGUCGAACGGCAGCACGGACUGUAGCAAUACAGUUGGGUGGCGAGUGGCGGACGGGUGAGUAACACGUAGGAAUCUGCCUUAUAGAGGGGGACAACUCGAGGAAACUCGAGCUAAUACCGCAUAAUCUCUACGGAGUAAAGCUGGGGCAACCUGGCGCUAUAGGAGGAGCCUGCGUCUGAUUAGCUAGUUGGAGGGUAAAGGCCUACCAAGGCGACGAUCAGUAGGUGGUCUGAGAGGAUGAUCACCCACACUGGGACUGAGACACGGCCCAGACUCCUACGGGAGGCAGCAGUGGGGAAUAUUGGACAAUGGGGGCAACCCUGAUCCAGCAAUACCGCGUGUGUGAAGAAGGCCU